rnacentral:lncRNA from 1 species
CAUCAACUUAUUUGGUCUGUAACAAUGUGGUCAUCAAUAUUUAAAAUGUAAAUUACUUAUCACUUCCUACUCGUGAAAGGAGGUAAAUGUGUGUGGAUGGUUUGAGUGGUAGAUGAGAUGCCUUAAAUACUGUUGAAGGUCCUUGGGCCAUGGUGGCACAUCAGGAGGUGGGGAGCAGGUGGAGGUUGGAUCUGGGCCUUUGAUGAUGAACGGCUAGGGAUUGCCUAAGUCUGUCUCAUAGUGGACCGACGAUUUGCCCUCUGUGGUGGCGUGCGUCUGUCCCUUGAUGUGACUCACUAACUUCUGAUGGAGAAGAGUGGAGGGACAUGCCCCAUCAUACUAACUGAUCGUGCAGCCGGUUCGAAGUUAUGGGUUGCUGGACCAGGCCACUAGGCCAAGGGCCAUCAAGUUAUACUUCAGAAAGCAAGCUCACAAAGAAGAAAUCUGCCUAUGCAGACUCUAGCAGGGUUGGGAAUUGUCUGCUUAUGUUUGGAAGAAUCAUCUUGCACAUUAAGGAGUAAAAACCAAUCAUUGGACUCCCAUAGUAGACUGUCGUGCAUCAGCACAGGGAGCUUAUGACGGAGUAUGGCUGGAUAGAGUGCUAAAGGAGCUAAAUGCCAUAAAUGAGGAGUCAGUCAAAAUGUUAUGUGACAGUCAGACUGCAGAUUGGAGAUUGCAUUGUUAGAAAUGUGGAGAGUCUAAUUUGAAUAGCAGUGAUUAGUGUAGAAUAGAGUUAAUAGUUAGAGAUAUAGCCUAAGUAACUAACGUAUGGGACAAGGACUCUACUUCCUCUCCUAUAAGAGGAGCCAAGCCUGUUAACUCUAUCUCUGUUCUAUUCUCUAGAUCAUACAUUAUGUGACUACUAUAACACUGUAGCCUUGUUCAUUGGAUUGUGCUUUGUUGGAUUUGUAAGAAAACUAAACUUAAAUAAUAAUUGAGCAAAAGAAAUAACAAACUUAGGCAGCAUUUAUCACCUUGGCUAGGUAAGUAAAACUAAUCUCCCAAGCUAUUGUAGGCCUUACUAUGAAUGUUCUUUCAUGUUGAGAACGACAGAAUUAAUAUUAAUUAGAAGUUCCUUUUC